rnacentral:rRNA from 1 species
CAUACAUGCAAGUCGAACGAUAAGGCACCUUCGGGUGUACAUAAGUGGCGGACGGGUGAGUAAAAUGUAGAGAAUCUGCCCUAGAGAGGGGGACAACAGAGGGAAACUUCUGCUAAUACCCCAUAUGAGCGUACCUGAAAUGGUAUUCUUGAAAACUCCGGUGCUCUGGGAUGAGUCUGCAUCUGAUUAGCUAGUUGGGGGUGUAAUGGACCACCAAGGCGACGAUCAGUAGCUGGUUUGAGAGGAUGAUCAGCCACAAUGGGACUGAGACACGGCCCAUACUCCUACGGGAGGCAGCAGUAGGGAAUUUUGCGCAAUGGGGGAAACCCUGAACCGCAGCAACGCCGCGUGACCGAUGAAGCCCUUCGGGGUGUAAAGGUCUGUCAGUGGGGACGAAAAAUGACGGUACCCACAGAGGAAGCAUCGGCUAACUCCGUGCCAGCAGCCGC